UUGCUGUCUAAAAAACACAACAAGGUCCU
rnacentral:piRNA from 1 species